UACGGAGGGAGCUAGCGUUGUUCGGAAAUACUGGGCGUAAAGCGCACGUAGGCGGCUUUGUAAGUUAGAGGUGAAAGCCCGGGGCUCAACUCCGGAAUUGCCUUUAAGACUGCAUCGCUAGAAUUGUGGAGAGGUAAGUGGAAUUCCGAGUGUAGAGGUGAAAUUCGUAGAUAUUCGGAAGAACACCAGUGGCGAAGGCGACUUACUGGACACAUAUUGACGCUGAGGUGCGAAAGCGUGGGGAGCAAACAGG
rnacentral:rRNA from 1 species